CUUUUUGGGGUCCCCCAAGUGAUCAUAGCUCUUUGAGGCUACUCAGGCCUCAAAGUUUGCUGGUUUGUGUAUUUAUUUACUUAUUUUACUUUGCCAGGUAAUCCACCUCCAAGUCCCACAGAGGGUUUGUUUUUUUAAGAUUUUUUUUUUUAAUGAGGGAGAGAGAAACUAGAGCACUGCUCAUCUCUGUCAUAUGACCAUGCUGAGGUUUGAAUGUGGGGUGUCUCUGGAGCAUCAGGUGGGGAGCGGGAACUUGAAACCAGGCCCAUGCAUGUAGCCUUUUGCAUAGUACUAUGUGUGCUUAACCAGAUACGUGUCGCCAUGAGCUUCCUAAGUGGGGGUCUUUGAUACUCCUGCAGUCAAAUGCUUGAACUUGCUAACAACCAGCUGCCUGAAAGCCUUGCUUGAGUCUCCUGAACAGCCCACUGGGUCAGUCUGCUGGGCCACCGGCUGAGCUCCACUUCUGGCUCAGGUGGUCGUUGCCACCUCCAGCACUCUCCUCUGCAGCUUUCCAGCCCCCAGUUUAUGCACCACGGCACAGGGGCUACUUGAGAACACAGGGUUGAGUGUGACACUGGAGAAAGUCAAAGGCCAGCUCUGAAGGAGUGCGUGGACCAGCUAAGGAGUUUAAACAAUAGAUGCUACAACUUUA